rnacentral:rRNA from 1 species
CAGUAGCCGCGGGAAUACGGAGGGUGCAAGCGUUAUCCGGAUUUAUUGGGUUUAAAGGGUCCGUAGGCGGACUUAUAAGUCAGUGGUGAAAGCCUGUCGCUUAACGAUAGAACUGCCAUUGAUACUGUAAGUCUUGAGUAUAUUUGAGGUAGCUGGAAUAAGUAGUGUAGCGGUGAAAUGCAUAGAUAUUACUUAGAACACCAAUUGCGAAGGCAGGUUACCAAGAUAUAACUGACGCUGAGGGACGAAAGCGUGGGUAGCGAACAGGAUUAGAGACCCCGGUAGUCCCUGUCUCUUAUAC